rnacentral:rRNA from 1 species
AACUUUCAGCAACGGAUCUCUUGGCUCUCGCAUCGAUGAAGAACGCAGCGAAAUGCGAUAAVUAAUGUGAAUUGCAGAAUUCAGUGAAUCAUCGAAUCUUUGAACGCACCUUGCGCUCCUUGGUAUUCCGAGGAGCAUGCCUGUUUGAGUGUCAUUA